CCUACGGGAGGCUGCAGUGGGGAAUAUUGCACAAUGGGGGAAACUCUGAUGCCGCGACGCCGCGUGAGUGAAGAAGUAUUUCGGUAUUUAAAGCUCUAUUAGCAGGGAAGUAAAUGACGGUACCUGAUUAAGAAGCCCCGGCUAACUACGUGCCAGCAGCCGCGGUAAUACGUAGGGGGCAAGCGUUAUCCGGAUUUACGGGGUGUAAAGGGAGCGUAGACGGCAGGACAAGUCUGGAGUGAAAUGCCGGGGCUUAACCCCGGAACUGCUUUGGAAACUGUGCAGCUAGAGUGCAGGAGAGGUAAGUGGAAUGCCUAGUGUAGCGGUGAAAUGCGUAGAUAUUAGGAGGAACACCAGUGGCGAAGGCGGCUUACUAGACUGUGACUGACGUUGAGGCUCGAAAGCGUGGGGAGCAAACAGGAUUAGAUACCCUUGUAGUC
rnacentral:rRNA from 1 species